rnacentral:rRNA from 1 species
UACGUAGGGGGCAAGCGUUGUCCGGAAUCAUUGGGCGUAAAGAGCGCGUAGGCGGCCAGAUAAGUCCGGUGUGAAAGUCCCAGGCUCAACCUGGGAAUGCCGCCGGAAACUGUCUGGCUAGAGUCCGGAAGGGGCCAGUGGAAUUCCCGGUGUAGCGGUGAAAUGCGCAGAUAUCGGGAGGAACACCAAUGGCGAAGGCAGCUGGCUGGGACGGUACUGACGCUGAGGCGCGAAAGCGUGGGGAGCGAACAGG